rnacentral:rRNA from 1 species
UGCUGAAGCAACAAAUGCCCUGCUUCCAGGAAAAGCCUCUAAGCAUCAGGUAACAUCAAAUCGUACCCCAAACCGACACAGGUGGUCAGGUAGAGAAUACCAAGGCGCUUGAGAGAACUCGGGUGAAGGAACUAGGCAAAAUGGUGCCGUAACUUCGGGAGAAGGCACGCUGACACGUAGGUGAAGUGAUUUACUCAUGGAGCUGAAGUCAGUCGAAGAUACCAGCUGGCUGCAACUGUUUAUUAAAAACACAGCACUGUGCAAACACGAAAGUGGACGUAUACGGUGUGACGCCUGCCCGGUGCCGGAAGGUUAAUUGAUGGGGUCAGCGCAAGCGAAGCUCCUGAUCGAAGCCCCGGUAAACGGCGGCCGUAACUAUAACGGUCCUAAGGUAGCGAAAUUCCUUGUCGGGUAAGUUCCGACCUGCACGAAUGGCGUAAUGAUGGCCAGGCUGUCUCCACCCGAGACUCAGUGAAAUUGAACUCGCUGUGAAGAUGCAGUGUACCCGCGGCAAGACGGAAAGACCCCGUGAACCUUUACUAUAGCUUGACACUGAACAUUGAGCCUUGAUGUGUAGGAUAGGUGGGAGGCUUUGAAGCGUGGACGCCAGUCUGCGUGGAGCCGACCUUGAAAUACCACCCUUUAAUGUUUGAUGUUCUAACGUGGACCCGUAAUCCGGGUUGCGGACAGUGUCUGGUGGGUAGUUUGACUGGGGCGGUCUCCUCCUAAAGAGUAACGGAGGAGCACGAAGGUUGGCUAAUCCUGGUCGGACAUCAGGAGGUUAGUGCAAUGGCAUAAGCCAGCUUGACUGCGAGCGUGACGGCGCGAGCAGGUGCGAAAGCAGGUCAUAGUGAUCCGGUGGUUCUGAAUGGAAGGGCCAUCGCUCAACGGAUAAAAGGUACUCCGGGGAUAACAGGCUGAUACCGCCCAAGAGUUCAUAUCGACGGCGGUGUUUGGCACCUCGAUGUCGGCUCAUCACAUCCUGGGGCUGAAGUAGGUCCCAAGGGUAUGGCUGUUCGCCAUUUAAAGUGGUACGCGAGCUGGGUUUAGAACGUCGUGAGACAGUUCGGUCCCUAUCUGCCGUGGGCGCUGGAGAACUGAGGGGGGCUGCUCCUAGUACGAGAGGACCGGAGUGGACGCAUCACUGGUGUUCGGGUUGUCAUGCCAAUGGCACUGCCCGGUAGCUAAAUGCGGAAGAGAUAAGUGCUGAAAGCAUCUAAGCACGAAACUUGCCCCGAG